UUGGACUAAGUUAGUGGGAAAAUCCAACAUUUUGUUGGAUAAUCCCACUAACUCUUAGUGGGAUAUGUGGCUAUAUGAGAUAUAGACACCUAGCCCACUAAGUUCCACUAAUUGUUAGUGGAAUAUUAGGUGUUGAGAUUUGGCAAUUGAAUUGCAUGCAUUUUUGCAUGUAAUUAGGCUAUAAAUAGAGAUGUUUUCAAAUGUUGAAGGACUUUUGCCUCUCUUAUCAUUUUCAUAAUCUCAACAAAAGAAAAAAGAAAGCUUCCAAUCUCAUUUUAUCUCCAUUACUUUCUACACCAAAAUUGGGUCCCACAACCCGGUUCUUUGUCUAGAGGAUAGCAGUUGAGUACUAGUGGUGGUCUCGGGUAGAAUUGGUAAGAAAACAUCAAACCUUUUGAAAGCUUCAAAGGUAAUACUUCUUAAAACCCUAAUUUGAUUAGUUUAUGGUUAGAUGUUAAUUGUGGCAAUUAGGGUAGAAAUUCGAUUCUUUUUCCACUGUGCAUGACUUAGUUCUAUCAUAUCAAACCUGAUAUACCACUGUCUUGGAGAUUGUUUAAGUCCAUAGAUGAACUUGUGAAUACGACAAACCAUGUCUUCCUUACCCUUCACCAUAUAGCCCUUAAGUUGAGCCAUGUAAAUCAUCUCCUCCAGUUCUCCAUGAAGAAAUGUUGUGGUGACGUCCAUCUGUUCAAUGAACAUAUCAAAGUGAACAACAAUAAAUAAAAUUAAUCUAAUGGACGAAUACCUCACCACCGGAGAAAAAAUCUCAUUAAAGUCAACUCCCUCCUUUUGAAUGUAGCCUUUUGCUACCAACCUAGCCUUAUAUCUAGGCUUACUAUUACCUCUUGUACCUGACUUGAUUUUGUAAAGAGAACAACUCUGCCACCAAAGCAUCCUUCGAUUGUUUCUUAGAAUCAUAUACGAUUGCCUCUUCAAAAGUAAGAGUCUCUGCUUCAAUACUAUCAGCUGCGCAAGUAAGAGCAUAAGCAACUAAGUCAGCGUAAUCAUACCUUAUAGGAGCAUGUCUUUCCCUCUGAACCCUGUCUUGAGUAAGCUGAUAGUUCUGUAGGUCAUUAUUACUUGAGCUUUCUUCACUGUGAACGCCCUCAUCAAUUAAAGUCCUCUCAUGUUGAGACUGUAUACCAUCAUAUUCAAACUGGUGUGUGGCCUUUGUUUGUGAAACUAGUGGUAACUGAUCACUAGAUACAUCUAAGCCAACUGAUGGUCGUACUUCUGAAUCAACUCUAACCUUUGUCUCAACAUGAUCAAUAGUCUUCUGCUUUUGUUGCUCUUUGACACAAUACGACAUUUAUGUCUCAUUAAAAGUUACAUCUCUACUGAUAAUGCAUUUAUUUAUCCCCUUCUGCAAGCACCAAAGUUUAUAACCUUUGACACCCUAAGGAUAACCAAUAAACAUGCAUUUUAGUGCCCUCUUGUUCAACUUUCCAUCUUUAACAUGAGCAUAUGCUGAGCAUUCGAACACUCUGAGAUGAUCUAAACUUGGAGCUUUACCUAUCCAUACCUCUUGAGGAGUCUUUAAGUCUAAAGUUGUAGAAGGACUCCUAUUAAUGAGAUAACAUACUGUUUGAGCAGCUUCCCCCCAAAAUUUCAAGGGUAAUGAUGCAUUAGCCAAGAGACACCUAGAAGGCAUCUUCAUAGGACCCCACAAAUCUGAAUGAACAUAAUCCAAAAUACCUUUGGUCGUGUGCUUCCCUUUCCCAAACUUUACUCUGGUAGACUUUCCCAUUAUACAAUGCUCAUAAAAUGGUAGUUCAACAUCUUUAACUCCUCUCAACAAACCUUGUUGAGAAAGUGCUUGUUAACCUCUUUCACUCACAUGAGCUAACCUUUUGUGCCAUAACAUAGACAUAUCUGUAACUUUGUCUGAUGCAAUAGCAGCACUGCCUGAAAUUGCAGUACCUUCCAACACAUACAAACCAUUCCUCAAGUUUAACCAAAGAACCCUUGGUAACUUUCAUAACUCCAUUCUCAGAUUUACAAGUAUAACCUGAUCUAUCUAAAUCACCAGUAGAUAUUAGACUACGUUUGAGUUUCGGAACAUAUCUAACAUUAGUGAGGACUCUGAUCAUCCUGUCAUGUGUUGCAAUUCGGACUGAACCAAUUCCCAACGCGGAACUGAUGUCGAGACCCAAACUCAACACAUCAUCAGAGUACCGCAAAUGUGCGUCGUUCACCGUCCUCUUCUCUUCGAAUGUCGUUCACUGUCGUGCAAAAACUCAUAUGUUAAAGCUUCGCCGAACGCCUCUUUCUCUCCCUCACUCUCUUUCUGUCGUGAACUGUCGGCUGCCCCCUUUUCUUUUUGUCUAAUUUAAAAAGACCUAAAGUAGAAGAUGUAAACAAUUAUAAAUUUGCCACAAAGGCAAAUUACCACUCUACCCUUAACUUAAAUCCCAUUUUACUAACUCUUAAAUACUUUUCAUUUUUCUACAGCAUGCUUUUAAAGAUAAGAUACGACAACUUACUUUCGGUGAUAUCUCUGAAUCUACAACUCAAUCUCCAAUUUGGGACACCACCAGUCGGAGACCUUCCUAUGCUCUAGGAUGAGAUUGGUUUGUGUGAACCAAUUUGGAUAGGAAAAGGUUUAGAGAUAUUUGAGAGAAAACCUUUUCCUAUUAUUAUUUUAUAAAUUUAAUUAAAUAAAACUAAAUUAUUAAUUAUUUCUUCAAUUAAUUAAUACCUAAGUUAAAUAUCUUAUAUUUAACUUAAAUUAAAUUUGAAUCAUAUUCAAAUAUAAAUUUAUC
rnacentral:lncRNA from 1 species